rnacentral:rRNA from 1 species
UACAGAGGUCUCAAGCGUUGUUCGGAUUCAUUGGGCGUAAAGGGUGUGUAGGUGGCGUCGUAAGUCAGGUGUGAAAUCUCGGGGCUCAACCCCCGAAAUGCACUUGAUACUGCGAUGCUCGAGUACUGGAGAGGAGAUUGGAAUUUACGGUGUAGCAGUGAAAUGCGUAGAUAUCGUAAGGAAGACCAGUGGCGAAGGCGAAUCUCUGGACAGUUACUGACACUGAGGCACGAAGGCCAGGGGAGCAAACGGG